AGAGAGAGACAUGCGCGCAUAUCAAUAAGCGGAGGAAAAGAAACUAACAAGGAUUCCCUUAGUAACGGCGAGUGAAGCGGGAAGAGCUCAAAUUUGAAAUCUUCAAGGUUUUACCUUGACGAAUUGUAGUUUAAAGAAGUGUUUUCUGCUGAAGUUUUGGUAAAAGUUCUUUGGAAUAGGACAUCAUAGAGGGUGAGAAUCCCGUAUUUGACCAUUAUUUUCAGCUUUGUGAUACACUUUCAAAGAGUCGGAUUGUUUGGGAAUGCAGUCCAAAAUGGGUGGUAAAUUUCAUCUAAAGCUAAAUAUUGGCGAGAGACCGAUAGCGAACAAGUACCGUGAGGGAAAGAUGAAAAGAACUUUGAAAAGAGAGUUAAACAGUACGUGAAAUUGUCAAAAGGGAAGCGUUUGACACCAGUGUUGUUUUCUCGAAAAUCAAUUAAAAAUGGCUCGAUUUUGUAUUGCUUGAGACCUUAAAAGCUCACUGUACAUUUUUCGUGUCUUUUUUAAUGCACUUUUCGUUUAACAAGUCAACAUCAGUUUCUUUUGUUGUAAAAGGGUCAUUGGAAGGUGGCUUUCUUUUCGGAGAAAGUGUUUAUAGCCUUUGGCCUCUGCAAUCGAAGAGAUUGAGGUCUGCAGCGUAGACUCCUUCGGGGUUAGAUACAUUUGUGCUAAGUUAUAGCCUUUUCAUAGACAACUUGUUGACUAUAAUCAGUCAUGUAGCUUACUCGCUUAUGCUAUUUUACCUACGCUUAGGAUGUUGAAGAUGUAGCACAUCAU
rnacentral:rRNA from 1 species